UCCGGUUGAUCCCGCCGGACCUGACUGCUAUCGGAUUGAUACUAAGCCAUGCGAGUCAUUGUAGCAAUACAAGGCAUACGGCUCAGUAACGCGUAGUCAACCUAACCUAUGGACGGGAAUAACCUCGGGAAACUGAGAAUAAUGCCCGAUAGAACACUAUACCUGGAAUGGUUUGUGUUCCAAAUGAUUUAUCGCCAUAGGAUGGGACUGUGGCCUAUCAGUUUGUUGGUGAGGUAAUGGCCCACCAAGACUAUUACAGGUACGGGCUCUGAGAGGAGUAGCCCGGAGAUGGGUACUGAGACACGGACCCAGGCCCUAUGGGGCGCAGCAGGCGAGAAAACUUUGCAAUGUGCGAAAGCACGACAAGGUUAAUCCGAGUGAUUUGUGCUAAACGAAUCUUUUGUUAGUCCUAGAAACACUAACGAAUAAGGGGUGGGCAAGUUCUGGUGUCAGCCGCCGCGGUAAAACCAGCACCUCAAGUGGUCAGGAUGAUUAUUGGGCCUAAAGCAUCCGUAGCCGGCUCUGUAAGUUUUCGGUUAAAUCUGUACGCUUAACGUACAGGCUGCCGGGAAUACUGCAAAGCUAGGGAGUGGGAGAGGUAGACGGUACUCGGUAGGAAGUGGUAAAAUGCUUUGAUCUAUCGAUGACCACCUGUGGCGAAGGCGGUCUACCAGAACACGUCCGACGGUGAGGGAUGAAAGCUGGGGGAGCAAACCGGAUUAGAUACCCGGGUAGUCCCAGCUGUAAACUAUGCAAACUCAGUGAUGCAUUGGCUUGUGGCCAAUGCAGUGCUGCAGGGAAGCCGUUAAGUUUGCCGCCUGGGAAGUACGUACGCAAGUAUGAAACUUAAAGGAAUUGGCGGGGGAGCACCACAAGGGGUGAAGCCUGCGGUUCAAUUGGAUUCAACGCCGGA
rnacentral:rRNA from 1 species